CCGGAGACAGUGCUGCAUGGCUGUCGUCAGCUCGUGUCGUGAGAUGUUCGGGUUAAGUCCCGCAACGAGCGCAACCCUCGCCUUUAGUUGCCAGCAUUCAGUUGGGCACUCUAGAGGGACUGCCGGUGUCAAACCGGAGGAAGGUGGGGAUGACGUCAAGUCCUCAUGGCCUUUAUGUCCAGGGCUACACACGUACUACAAUGGCCGGUACAAAGGGUUGCCAACCCGCGAGGGGGAGCUAAUCCCAUAAAGCCAGUCGUAGUCCGGAUCGUAGUCUGCAACUCGACUACGUGAAGUCGGAAUCGCUAGUAAUCGUGGAUCAGAAUGUCACGGUGAAUACGUUCCCGGGUCUU
rnacentral:rRNA from 1 species